AGAGUUUGAUCAUGGCUCAGGAUGAACGCUAGCGGCAGGCUUAAUACAUGCAAGUCGAGGGGCAGCAUGACUGUAGCAAUACAGUUGAUGGCGACCGGCAAACGGGUGCGGAACACGUACAGAACCUUCCUUCGAGCGGGGAAUAGCCCAGAGAAAUUUGGAUUAAUACCCCAUAGUACAACGGAGUGGCAUCACUUUGUUGUUAAAGAUUUAUCACUUGAAGAUGGCUGUGCGGCUGAUUAGGUAGUUGGCGGGGUAACGGCCCACCAAGCCUGCGAUCAGUAACUGGUGUGAGAGCACGACCAGUCACACGGGCACUGAGACACGGGCCCGACUCCUACGGGAGGCAGCAGUAAGGAAUAUUGGUCAAUGGACGAAAGUCUGAACCAGCCAUGCCGCGUGGAGGAUGAAGGUCCUCUGGAUUGUAAACUUCUUUUAUAUGGGACGAAAAAAGGGUUUUCUAACUCGUCUGACGGUACCAUAUGAAUAAGCACCGGCUAACUCCGUG
rnacentral:rRNA from 1 species